AUUGAACGCUGGCGACAUGCCUUACACAUGCAAGUCGAACGGCAGCACGGGUGCUUGCACCUGGUGGCGAGUGACGAACGGGUGAGUAAUACAUCGGAACAUGUCCUGUAGUGGGGGAUAGCCCGGCGAAAGCCGGAUUAAUACCGCAUACGAUCUACGGAUGAAAGCGGGGGACCUUCGGGCCUCGCGCUAUAGGGUUGGCCGAUGGCUGAUUAGCUAGUUGGUGGGGUAAAGGCCUACCAAGGCGACGAUCAGUAGCUGGUCUGAGAGGACGACCAGUCACACUGGGACUGAGACACGGCCCAGACUCCUACGGGAGGCAGCAGUGGGGAAUUUUGGACAAAGGGCGAAAGCCUGAUCCAGCAAUGCCGCGUGUGUGAAGAAGGCCUUCGGGUUGUAAAGCACUUUUGUCCGGAAAGAAAUCCUUGGCCCUAAUACGGUCGGGGGAUGACGGUACCGGAAGAAUAAGCACCGGCUAACUACGUG
rnacentral:rRNA from 1 species